GCUUUGUUUUUCUCGAAGACAAAAAAGUCCUUUCAAAAUUCAUCUAUAGCAGCAUACCCAACCCAUGUGCCUUCCUGCCCCGAUGGAAGUUUGGAGUUUGGGCACUUCCCGCCUUCCUCGCUCCCCAGCUCUCCUCAUAGUCAUGCUUCUCUGGUGCAACUGAAAGCACAUUCCAGCAACUAUCGCCAACCCUAGAUCUUAAGCUGGAAACUUUGAAGACACAUCACGUCGAGAGAUGGAGAGAGAGGUUACAGUCCUGGGGGCUUCGAAGCUCCAAGCAUUCUAGAACCACCCAGUCAGUCCUAAGAUGAGUAAACCGACCAUCCUUUAUUGUUUACUUUUAUUAUUAUUUUUAAAUUUGUAAUUAUGUUUUUAAUUUGCACCAAUUGUUUGUAAGAAUCAUUAAUUAGUCAAUACUCAAUUGUUCAUAUGAUUUUCGUGA